rnacentral:rRNA from 1 species
UACGUAGGUCGCAAGCGUUGUCCGGAAUUAUUGGGCGUAAAGAGCUCGUAGGCGGUUUGUCGCGUCUGCCGUGAAAGUCCGGGGCUCAACUCCGGAUCUGCGGUGGGUACGUGGCAGACUAGAGUGAUGUAGGGGAGACUGGAAUUCCUGGUGUAGCGGUGAAAUGCGCAGAUAUCAGGAGGAACACCGAUGGCGAAGGCAGGUCUCUGGGCAUUAACUGACGCUGAGGAGCGAAAGCAUGGGGAGCGAACAG